rnacentral:rRNA from 1 species
GAUGAACGCUGGCGGCGUGCCUAAUACAUGCAAGUCGAGCGAACGGACGAGAAGCUUGCUUCUCUGAUGUUAGCGGCGGACGGGUGAGUAACACGUGGAUAACCUACCUAUAAGACUGGGAUAACUUCGGGAAACCGGAGCUAAUACCGGAUCAUAUUUUGAACCGCAUGGUUCAAAAGUGAAAGACGGUCUUGCUGUCACUUAUAGAUGGAUCCGCGCUGCAUUAGCUAGUUGGUACGGUAACGGCUUACCAAGGCAACGAUGCAUAGCCGACCUGAGAGGGUGAUCGGCCACACUGGAACUGAGACACGGUCCAGACUCCUACGGGAGGCAGCAGUAGGGAAUCUUCCGCAAUGGGCGAAAGCCUGACGGAGCAACGCCGCGUGAGUGAUGAAGGUCUUCGGAUCGUAAAACUCUGUUAUUAGGGAAGAACAUAUGUGUAAGUAACUGUGCACAUCUUGACGGUACCUAAUCAGAAAGCCACGGCUAACUACGUG